rnacentral:piRNA from 1 species
UGUUCAUAUUUUGAUCAAACA